AAACUCAAAGGUUGAGUGCUUGUCUGAAUGUUUUCCCAUCAAUAAGAAUCCUACAACCUUUUGAACAAGCAAUAAUGGAACUCUGGCUGAAACUAAUGUUUUUAUUAGUUGUCCUCACAGGUGUCCAAUCUGAGGUCCAAUUGGUGGAAUCUGGAGGGGAUGUAAGAAGACCCGGAGAGUCCCUCCAUCUCUCCUGCCAAACCUUGGGGUUCACCUUCAGUAGCUACUGGAUGAGCUGGCUGAGACAGGCUCUAGGGAAAGGACUGGAAUAUGUGGCAAGGAUACGCUAUGAUGCUGCAUAUAUUUACUACUCAGACAAAGUCAAGGGGCGCUUCACCAUCUCCAGGGAAAAUGCCAAAAGCCAGCUGUAUCUGCAAAUGAACAGCCUUAAACCAGAGGAUAUGGCAGUCUAUUACUGUGUGAGAGACACACUGGUUGUCUCAUAUUUUGAUGGGGUCUGA